AGAGUGGGAAGUGUUUGGGUUUGUGUCCAUGCCCCUCUCAAACAACAUUUUGGCUAAGAAUCUGGCUGGCUACCCCAGCACAACUCUUUUUCCAUCUCUCCAUCCUUCUUCCUGUUUAAAAGUGUUACUGUGGCAUAGAUUUAUUAAAAUUAAACAAACCUGACAUGUGACUCACAGGAACAUAGUGUUUGCUCUAACCAUGUAGAACACUAAUAUUUUGCAGAUUUUUUUCAUCCUUGGAUUUUUAUAACAUUCUACAGGGAGCAAUACCAGAUUUCUUCCUCAAAGGGGGGGAAGAGAAACACUUAGAGAGAUGAUUUACAACUCAAGGAAGGUGGUUAUCAGUCUUCCUUUAUCAAACAAGGAAAGACAAGCUAAGAGGGAGAAAAGGUGGUUCAUACAAAUGCAGAGCCAGUGGAACAGGCAACACAAAUAAUUCAUGUACUCUGAAAAUUGUUUUAUAUAAAACUUAAAAGGAAAAAUCCCCAAACACCCACAUCAAACUCUGUGACCACCAGAGCAGCGAACACACAACACAGAUCUUCUGGCUCCUUAUCAAGUUCCUGUUAUUUUCAUUAGAGUAGUGCCCAGAGAUCCCAGCCAAUAUCUUGACUCUGGAGGACAGAUUCUGCCUGAGCACAUAGUAGUACCCCAGGGGCCUUCCAGUGCAAAAGAUAGAGGACACCACACAAGAGGCACCAAGCCCAGCACAAAACAAAGAGAAGAUUGCACCCAUCAGCUAUAUACACUGGUUGGAGGCUGGACAUUUACUUUUCAAGGUAAAAGACUGAAGAGACGUGGAGAAACCUCACCAAUUGACUUCAGUAAGACCUCAGCAUCCUCUGCCAAUGGCUGCAAGGAAACUGCUGUCAAGCUUGAUCAAUUUACAUCUCAUCUGAUGACAUACAACCACUGCUGUUAUCUGACUGGCAAGAAACAGUGUACAACUGGGCUCUGAAAACCAGGAACUACAAGACAGCCAUUAUCCAUAUAACAUACUGAAAACACACAAGGAAAUGUGUCCACCUGAAAGCCACCCUUCUUCCUCCCAUUUAUAACAGUAGAAGAGUAUGGCACAGUAAGCUUUAGCAGCACAGACACGCAAUCCUGCUAGCAAGCAAACAGAUCAAACAUCUACUUCUUUGUAAAUGAAUCCCAGACUAUGCCUAACUGUAUGAGCAGGAUAUGAAAAGGUUAUUCUAUCUGAGGAUUAUACACAAUCCUUGUCUUUGGCAGCAAAAUAAUAUCAAAUUAUUUAAUAGAAGAAAACAAUAUUUUAACACCUAGGAAAUCUCUUCAUUUUAAAGGCCAUAGUAAUUUCCAGCAGCAGCUGCUCAAAAUCUACUAGUUUAACAUCCUAUAGCAGAGCAACAUUUAAAUCUCACUUCAUGGGUAGAAACACCACCUUUCAGCUACUGUUGAACUGACUCAUGAAUGCAUGGCUCAUG